CGGACGGGUGAGUAAUGUCUGGGAAACUGCCCGAUGGAGGGGGGUAACUACUGGAAACGGUAGCUAAUACCGCAUAACGUCGCAAGACCAAAGAGGGGGACCUUCGGGCCUCUUGCCAUCGGAUGUGCCCAGAUGGGAUUAGCUAGUAGGUGGGGUAACGGCUCACCUAGGCGACGAUCCCUAGCUGGUCUGAGAGGAUGACCAGCCACACUGGAACUGAGCACGGUCCAG
rnacentral:rRNA from 1 species